rnacentral:rRNA from 1 species
GCAGGGGACCGCAAGGCCUCGCGCUCUUUGAGCGGCCGAUGUCAGAUUAGCUAGUUGGUGAGGUAAAGGCUUACCAAGGCGACGAUCUGUAGCGGGUCUGAGAGGAUGAUCCGCCACACGGGAACUGAGACACGGUCCAGACUCCUACGGGAGGCAGCAGUGGGGAAUUUUGGACAAUGGGGGCAACCCUGAUCCAGCCAUGCCGCGUGAGUGAAGAAGGCCUUCGGGUUGUAAAGCUCUUUCGGCCGGGAAGAAAUCGCAUGGGCCAAUGCCCUGUGUGGGUGACGGUACCGGAAUAAGAAGCACCGGCUAACUACGUGCCAGCAGCCGCGGUAAUACGUAGGGUGCGAGCGUUAAUCGGAAUUACUGGGCGUAAAGCGUGCGCAGGCGGUUUUGUAAGACAGGCGUGAAAUCCCCGGGCUUAACCUGGGAACUGCGUUUGUGACUGCAAGGCUAGAGUACGGCAGAGGGGGGUGGAAUUCCGCGUGUAGCAGUGAAAUGCGUAGAGAUGUGGAGGAACACCAAUGGCGAAGGCAGCCCCCUGGGUCGAUACUGACGCUCAUGCACGAAAGCGUGGGUAGCAAACAGGAUUAGAUACCCUGGUAGUCCACGCCCUAAACUAUGUCAACUAGGUGUUGGGUGGGUAAAACCAUUUAGUACCGUAGCUAACGCGUGAAGUUGACCGCCUGGGGAGUACGGCCGCAAGGUUAAAACUCAAAGGAAUUGACGGGGACCCGCACAAGCGGUGGAUGAUGUGGAUUAAUUCGAUGCAACGCGAAAAACCUUACCUACCCUUGACAUGCCAGGAACUUGCCAGAGAUGGCUUGGUGCCCGAAAGGGAGCCUGGACACAGGUGCUGCAUGGCUGUCGUCAGCUCGUGUCGUGAGAUGUUGGGUUAAGUCCCGCAACGAGCGCAACCCUUGUCGUUAAUUGCCAUCAUUUAGUUGGGCACUUUAACGAGACUGCCGGUGACAAACCGGAGGAAGGUGGGGAUGACGUCAAGUCCUCAUGGCCCUUAUGGGUAGGGCUUCACACGUCAUACAAUGGUCGGUACAAGGGGUUGCCAAGCCGCGAGGCGGAGCCAAUCCCAGAAAGCCGAUCGUAGUCCGGAUUGCAGGCUGCAACUCGCCUGCAUGAAGUCGGAAUCGCUAGUAAUCGCGCAUCAGCACGGCACGGUGAAUACGUUCCCGGGUCUUGUACACACCGCCCGUCACACCAUGGGAGCGGGUUCCGCCAGAAGUAGGUAGCCUAACCGCAAGGGGGGCGCUUACCACGGCGGGGUUCGUGACUGGGGUGAAGUCGAAACAAGGUA